CGACUAAUCGCCCUCGUGGAGUUUUAUUCUUGGAAUGGGCCUUCUCGUUUUGGGCUUUUUGCUUUUCAAAUUUUGAAAUCUUCGGUAUCAUAUACACAUUUAAUUAAAUUUAACGGAAUAAAAUUGAGCCAUUAUAAAUAUAAAGUUGAAAGAAGAAAACGAAAAAUAGCCGUUCGAAUUUCGAAGAGCGCUUGGGUCUUCUUCUCUCGCUUCAUGAACAAAAAAAGUAAUUCUGAUGUUUGGGGACAAACCCUAAAUUUCCGCUACUCGCUUCUAUGGACGCAUCCUCCGAUAACUACAUAUCUAUUCACCACCAUGAAAAAGUUGUACCAAGAAAGCUACGAAGUUGAUCACAAAGCUUUUAGAAAUCAUUCAGGCGGUGGACAGGACAUGGACCUAUCAGAAUUCGUACCAAAAUUUGUCAUGUCAGUUUUUGUCUUUUAUUUAUUUAUUCACGGUAUGUUCUCUUCAAUCCUCUUCUUCUUCUUGGUCUUUUGAGUUUGUUUCUACAGGUUGAUGUUGUGUCUCGUUUCUUUUGCAGCAACAAAUUUCAUAGUCUUAUGUGACAUAUCUCAGAAACAAGAGAAUGUUAUAUAGGUUCUUCUCCAACACAUAAAGAAUGCAUAUACAUAUAUACAUGCACAUACAUCUACAUUCAUACAUAUAUGCAUACAUGUUUGCAUACUUGAUUACUUGUAUAAAUUCACUCUUAGUUCCAUCUUUCAUUAUUUAUCUACUUGCUUUCUUCAUUCUUUGUCUGCUUGUUUGCUUAUUUAUUGAUACCUUACUAGCUUCCUUUGUGCUUGCUUUCUUUCUUUCUUACUUGGCUUCGUUGCAAGCUUCUUCAAUUACAUGCUUCUCAAUUUACUGUUUAUUUAGUUGCGUGUGUUUGCUUCCUGCCUUGGUUGUCUGCUUUCUUUCUCUUCCUUGAUUUCUUGUUCCUUGCUGAGUUGUGUGCUUUAUUACUUGUUCCUUGAUUCCUAGUAUACUUCCCUGCUUGCUUCCUCACUUUCUUUCUUGCUUGCUUCCCUUUUUUUUUUUUUUAAAAGUCAUAGCUCAGUUCCUAUCUUCUUAUAUUACUACCUUACUUUGUUGUUUAUUUAUAUUCUGUUUUCCUUGGUUGCAUGUGUGUGUGUGUGUGUGCUUGUUUGCUUUUCUUGUUCUCUUCCUUAAUUCCUUGUUCCUUGCUGAGUUAUGUGCUUUCAUUACUUGCUUCCUUGAUUUGUUGAUUAUUUUCUUACUUGUUUCCUUAUUUUCUUUCAUGGUUCCUUACUUAAUUUGCUUACUUUCUUCAUUGACUUUUUCCUUAUUUUCUUUUCAUGGUGACCACUUGUUUACAUUGAUCAUGUAUCUUUGAUUAAUCUAACAGUUUUUAAGUGAAAACAAUCACUGAAAUGCAGGAUCUCCACUCGGUGAUGUACCAAAACUGAAUGGACUGUCUUAUCGGCAAUAACCAUCUUUCAAUUAUUCAUUCAAAUUUGUGUCAAAGAACAAGGAUUGUUGGGAAAACAAGGUGGCUAGGAAUCCACGCAAAACCUUUGCGUACCACUUGUAAGUUGCCAUAUUAUUAAAAUCAAGCUUAAAGCACUACAAUCAAUAGCUCUGAAAAGGGACACAAUGUUACAUAGAAGUUAUUCACAGGUCCAUCAAAAAAGAGAACGUCUAGAGUUCCAUCUUCAAGCGUCUUAAGUUGGACCCUUUCUCGCAGUUGCUUAUCUUAGGAUUAGGUCCUGGAAAGCAAUGGACAUAUAGUCUAUCCGCAAUGGACAUAUACCGAAUCAGAUUAGGAAGGCUAGAAAGUGGAAAUUGCUGGAAGAGCUUGCGUCUUUGAGUAACACGCUAUGCAAACCACUUUCUCUGAAAAUAGGUUAGUUGAAGUUACAGAGAAAAGUCAAGAAUUGGUGCAGCAUACCAAUCAAUGGAAGAUCAAAAUGUUUGGAAGAUAACCUCUAUAGAUCAUCUAAUUUCUUAAGUUUAAUUCUUCUAGAUAUGUCUUCAAUCUCUUUUUUAUUUAUUUAGUCUUAGUCUCUUUCUUUUACUUAAUCUAACCCAUUACUGUCUUUAUGCUUUUCAGGUAUACUUGCUUCACAACUUGCAAAUACUGCUCAAUACAAUAACAAAUCAAGACAUGUUCUUACUCAAAAGAUUGUAAAGAGGAAGGUGACAUAAGUUUUGAUAAGCUACAAGACAGAUCUAAUUUGUCUAGAAGGAUCUGGUCACAUAUAUAUCUGUUUUGUAUAUGUGUCGUAAAAAAUGUCUCCGAUACUUUUUCACAGCGUUAUUUGCAUAUCAAACCUAAAGUUAUUAAUCAUUUCCUAUAUGUUUUUUCUUUCUCAUAUUAGGUGUUAAUAUGCCCAAACUAUGAUGAUGGUGGAUCAUCUCAAACGAUCUUUGCCACAUACCUAUUAAUCUCGUGUCAUAUCUAAACUAUGGUAGUGAUGGUUUAUGCUCCCAAGAUAGAUGUACAUAAAAUUCAAAUGAAUUGCAUAAAGCUGGUAUAUUUGGGUACGUUGUCAAUGGUAAUUAUGUUAUUUAUAUUGGUUACUUGGAAAGUAUUUGCUCUACUCAUGCUCUACUUAAAGCACUCAGAAUUGAUCAUGUAUCUUUCGAUUAAUCUAACAAUUUUUAAGUGAAAACAGUUGAAGUAAACAUUGAAAUGCAGGAUCUCCACUCGAUGAUGCACCAAAACUGAAUGUCUGUCUUGUCUGCAGUUAACUUCUUUUGAUCAUCCUGUCAAAUAAGUGUCGAGGAGCUAGGAUUGUUGGGAUACCAAGGUGGUUAGGAAUCCGUGAAAAACCUCUGCAUACCAUUUGUAAGGUGUCAUUGAUAACAACCUCUGCAUACCAUUUGGUAGCAAGGCAAUCUUUAAUACCCAUGUAUGGGUCUUCGAUUCAUUUUUCGUACUGGUAAUUUAUGGUCAUCUGUACAAAUUUCUGCAUAUGUGAAAUUAUUUUAUAUCCAGAAAUACAUUGGUGAAACCUAUUUGAAUGUUGUUGUACGAUUUGCAGCUUAAAAUACUACACUCCAUAGCUCUAAAAAUUGAACACGAUGCUACAUAGAAGAAAAAAAAGUUAAUUCAGUAGAAAACGACAUAGAGGUUGAUUACAACGGUUUUGAAGUUAUAUGUAAACUAUUAAAAUUUUAUUUGUUCUUAAAUUACAAUCACAUAGUGUAUGCAAUUAUUUGCAGGUCCAUAACAAAAGAGACAACGUCUAGAGUUCCAUCUUCAAGAUUCUUAAGUUGGACCCUUUCUCGCAGUUUCUUAUUUUAGGAUAAACUAUUUUAUCUCCACCCUGUGAUGAUCAAGUCCUGGAAAUCAAUGGGCAUAUAGUCUUAUCUGCGAUGAUCACUUGUCUACAACCAAAAUUACAUAUACUAAAUCAGAAAGUGGAAAUUGCUGGAAGAGCUUGCAUCUUUGAUUAACACUUGCUACGCCUAUCCAAACCACUGUCACAAAGAUCCCCAUUAUAUAACUUUAAAAAUAAGACAACUGAAGUAACAGAGAAAAGUCAAGAGUUAGGAGCCCGAAAUCAAUUUGUGGAAGAUCAAAAUGUUUGGCAGACAACUUCUAGAGAUCCUCUAGUCUCUUAACUUUAAUACUUCUUCCAGGUAUGUCUUCAAUCUCUUUAUUCUAUUUAGUCUUCAAUUUUUCUCUAAUAGUUUGAAUUUAGUCCCUUUUGUUGUUAUGAAGUAUUAGAUUUCAAAGCCAAUGUGUCUAACGCGUAAACGAAAAAGUUCUACAUAUAGGUACUACGAUCGGAUUACGCCUUCGACGGUAUAAUAUUUGACACCCAAAUACUUUAACAAUAAUCUCCUUGAUUUCAUUUGAUAGUGUGAGCUCGGUCUAUCUCUUGAAUCUUUGAACAUAUUCCAUGCAUACACACACAUACAUACAUACAUACAUACAUACAUACAUAUGUUCAUGCAAACACAUACAUAAAUAUUCAUGCAUAUAUGCUUCUUUGAAUAUUUGCUUUGUUUAUUGCUUCUUUGCAUAAAUGCUUAAUUUGUUAAGUUGUUUAUUCUUUCCUUCUUUUAUUUACUUCAUUACUUUUUUCUUUCCUUGAUUGCUUUCUUACCUGCUUAACUUGUUUACUUUCUAUCUUAUUUGCUUUUAUUAAUACUUCUGCUUAAGGCAUUGCUUGUUCUUUGCUUCUUUGUUUAGUGCACAUUGCUUGCUUCUCUGCAUUGUUGACUUCUCUGUUUAGUUCAUUUCUUGCUUCUUCUCUGAUGUGGCUUGUUUCUUUGCUUUAUGUAUUGUUUGUUUCUUUGCUAUAUAUGUUGAACUUGCAUACUCCUGUAACUUGCUUUCUUAAUUUCUUAUUUGAUUUUAUUGUGUGAGUCUAACUAUAUGUCUAACAUAGAUUUUAUAUAUAACUAGUAUUUAUUACUUUUUUUUUGUUAAUUUAUUGCGAUAAGUAUUAUUAACUUAUUCACACACUACCUCCCUACUGUCCAACAUGAAUUUUGAAUUUUAUUUAAUCUUUUAAAAAAGUUAUUACGACUAGCAUUGUUAUAUACUUUUACAUCUUUCUUUUAUUCCUUAUGCUUACUAUUUUCAGCAGCAAUAGAGACUUGAGAGAUUUUGUAGGAGUAUAAAUUUGUAAUAUGAUCAUGUAAGAAUUCUAGAUUCGAUGACAUUAUGUACGAACGAUUAUUUGUUUAUAUUGAAAUAAAUAAGAUUUAAUUGACUA